AAAAGGUUUAACAGAAAUCCAUCCGCAAACCGUCAUAACUUAUGGGCACGGAGGGUGAUCAGCCCCGUUGUACCCUGUAUUUAUCAAUACUACAUAACCUGAACGAAAUUCAUCGCUCACUCUAUCCGCCUUGGGCUCAAAAAUUUUCCCAUAUAGGGGUGUUCAUACAUGCCUGGUUCCAAACCCGAAGGUUUUUAAUCUUGCUCAACAAUAAUAUAUAAUUCAACAUAUAUGUAUACGGGUAAUUGACAAAGGUAUAUCAACAUGUGAAUAAAUGCCAUGAUUAUCCAAGUGGGGACACUUGUAUAACC
rnacentral:lncRNA from 1 species